GAGAAAACCAGGUUCAAAACCGCGUUCAAACGCUUUUCCUCUCCGUUACAUAACCAUUAUCAACACUCCUAUUUCACCAUCAUCUAUCUUUCUCAUACACGCAAAUAUCUGACAUCCCCAGUUUAAAGUUUUAACCUCUCUCUUUAACCUUUCCGUUUCAAACUUUCAAUUCUAAUGGGUUCCUAAUUAUAUAAUUAUAUAAAAUAUUUAUGCAUCCAAUUAAAUUAAAAAAACGGUGGAUGGUGGAAUAAUUCUUGUUUUCAACGUAUCCUUAACUUGGUUCCAUCCCACAAAGAAAAAGGAUAUUUUCUUCCUUUCUUUAAAAAAAAAAUAUAUUAAGGGGAAAGGACUUAUUUUAUUGCAACUUAGUAGCAAAAUAGCAAUACUCAGUACUCACUUAUCCAAUAUUUUUGUUUGUUUCUCAAAUUCUCAGUCCUAACCCCGUUUCCAUUCACAAUUCCCAUUUGGAAACCGCUAACUCGAAUCUUCCUACAACCUUCGCUCUCCCCUCUGAGAAAACCAGGUUCAAAACCGCGUUCAAACGCUUUUCCUCUCCGUUACAUAACCAUUAUCAACACUCCUAUUUCACCAUCAUCUAUCUUUCUCAUACACGCAAAUAUCUGACAUCCCCAGUUUAAAGUUUUAACCUCUCUCUUUAACCUUUCCGUUUCAAACUUUCAAUUCUAAUGGGUUCAGUUUCUACUUACAAAAGAAAAGAGCCAGAGCCAAACAGCCCCUUUGACACACUACCGGACGAUGUUAUCCAGCUUAUACUCAACAGAGUCAAAGACGCUAAGACCCUCGUUCG
rnacentral:lncRNA from 1 species